rnacentral:rRNA from 1 species
GGCUUAACACAUGCAAGUCGAGGGGCAGCAUGGUCUUAGCUUGCUAAGGCCGAUGGCGACCGGCGCACGGGUGAGUAACACGUAUCCAACCUGCCGUCUACUCUUGGACAGCCUUCUGAAAGGAAGAUUAAUACAAGAUGGCAUCAUGAGUCCGCAUGUUCACAUGAUUAAAGGUAUUCCGGUAGACGAUGGGGAUGCGUUCCAUUAGAUAGUAGGCGGGGUAACGGCCCACCUAGUCUUCGAUGGAUAGGGGUUCUGAGAGGAAGGUCCCCCACAUUGGAACUGAGACACGGUCCAAACUCCUACGGGAGGCAGCAGUGAGGAAUAUUGGUCAAUGGGCGAGAGCCUGAACCAGCCAAGUAGCGUGAAGGAUGACUGCCCUAUGGGUUGUAAACUUCUUUUAUAAAGGAAUAAAGUCGGGUAUGCAUACCCGUUUGCAUGUACUUUAUGAAUAAGGAUCGGCUAACUCCGUGCCAGCAGCCGCGGUAAUACGGAGGAUCCGAGCGUUAUCCGGAUUUAUUGGGUUUAAAGGGAGCGUAGAUGGAUGUUUAAGUCAGUUGUGAAAGUUUGCGGCUCAACCGUAAAAUUGCAGUUGAUACUGGAUAUCUUGAGUGCAGUUGAGGCAGGCGGAAUUCGUGGUGUAGCGGUGAAAUGCUUAGAUAUCACGAAGAACUCCGAUUGCGAAGGCAGCCUGCUAAGCUGCAACUGACAUUGAGGCUCGAAAGUGUGGGUAUCAAACAGGAUUAGAUACCCUGGUAGUCCACACGGUAAACGAUGAAUACUCGCUGUUUGCGAUAUACAGCAAGCGGCCAAGCGAAAGCGUUAAGUAUUCCACCUGGGGAGUACGCCGGCAACGGUGAAACUCAAAGGAAUUGACGGGGGCCCGCACAAGCGGAGGAACAUGUGGUUUAAUUCGAUGAUACGCGAGGAACCUUACCCGGGCUUAAAUUGCAGAUGAAUUACGGUGAAAGCCGUAAGCCGCAAGGCAUCUGUGAAGGUGCUGCAUGGUUGUCGUCAGCUCGUGCCGUGAGGUGUCGGCUUAAGUGCCAUAACGAGCGCAACCCUUGUUGUCAGUUACUAACAGGUUCCGCUGAGGACUCUGACAAGACUGCCAUCGUAAGAUGUGAGGAAGGUGGGGAUGACGUCAAAUCAGCACGGCCCUUACGUCCGGGGCUACACACGUGUUACAAUGGGGGGUACAGAGGGCCGCUACCACGCGAGUGGAUGCCAAUCCCAAAAACCUCUCUCAGUUCGGACUGGAGUCUGCAACCCGACUCCACGAAGCUGGAUUCGCUAGUAAUCGCGCAUCAGCCACGGCGCGGUGAAUACGUUCCCGGGCCUUGUACACACCGCCCGUCAAGCCAUGGGAGCCGGGGGUACCUGAAGUGCGUAACCGCGAGGAGCGCCCUAGGGUAAAACUGGUGACUGGGGCUAAGUCGU